GUAUUUUGAUUACAAGGUAUUGAAUAAGGUUUUAAUUGAAUGCUAAAAGAAUGGAAUAUCAAAGAAUAACUUUCUUAAAAUUAAAAAUUGAAAUUUUUUUAAUUUGUGUAAAAACAAUUAUAUAAAUUAAAGACAAGAAGACCCUAAGAAUUUUUAAAAUUUAAAUUAACACAUUUUUGUUUUAAUUAAAUUUUAACUGGGGCGGUUAAAAAAUAUUAAAAACUUUUUAAUUUUGAAAAUGACCCAUUAUUAAUGAAAAUAUGAUAAAAUACUCUAGGGAUAACAGCGUUAUAUUUUUUGAUAGAUCAUAUUGACAAAAAAGUUUGCGACCUCGAUGUUGGAUUAGGAUACUUUUUUAAUGAAGAUAUUAAAAUAAGAAGUUUGUUCAACUUUUAAAUUCCUACAUGAUCUGGUUUUAGACCGA
rnacentral:rRNA from 1 species